UCAAACAAACAUUCCGAACACUGCAAACAAACUUAGUUAAACACUGAAAUUGAAUUAACUUUAGAUCCAUUUUGGCAUUUUAAUUAAAAUGAUGUGGCAAACAGAUUUAGGAAAUUGUUCAUUUAAAAACAUUGUACUCAGGAAUUAGCAAGCAUUGUGUUCUUUUUGAGUUUUGCAUCUUGAUGCUGUGAUCUUCAUCAGCGUCACAUUGGAAACAUGAGCUCCCCACUUGCUACUUUAAGAAAGGGCAAACGAGCUCCUCUGCCUGACAUACAGAGCGAUGGGGAGAGAAAGCCUUACAAAGAAAGGUCAGACACCGACUGUGGAACUACAUUAUUCCGAGAUAUUUUCUCACAAAACCAACCGGCGCCCUUCAGCAUGAACAAUGCUUCAAGAUCAAAGGUCAUGCAGAAGAUGAAAGCCAAAGAAGCUUCUGCACCGAGUGAUUUUGAACUGAUGUCCAGUAUGAUGCAGAAGAUCAGCCUGCUGGAGAAAAAAGUAAAAACUCAGGCUAUGGAUAUAGAGUGCAAGGCACAAAGAAUAUCAGUUCUGGAAGACAAACUGAGUCUUUUGCAAGAGGCAAGAGAGAAAUCUGUAAAUAAUGAGAUCCAAGAUGAAGAAUUGAGUAAAUUAUGCAUCAGACUUCAAAAGCAAGUUUUGGAAAUGGAGAAGUUUCUGAAUGAUUAUGGAAUGAUCUGGGUUGGAAGUUGCGAAGAACCUGACGUUUUGUGGCUUCCGGAGACUGAACAAGCCAGCACAUCGACAGGAACUUCUGUUCCAAGAAGGUUUGAAAUGAACUAUGACCUAGUCAUGCAGAACAUCCGAGAGCUAAACAUCUUAGCAGGGGAAGGCGAGUCCCAUGUGACCCCCAUGCCAGGUGGGGCCAAACUUACCCAGCAGUCCUCUAUACCCCUGUGGCUCUACAAAAACGGAAUUAUCAUGUUCGGCGGACCAUUCCGCUCCUACCAGGAUCCAACAACGCAGGAAUGCAUGCAAGACUUGAUGGAUGGAUUUUUCCCGUCUGAGCUUCAGGAAAGGUUUCCUUAUGGUGUGCCCUUCCAGAUUCAUGACAGACGGGAGGAGAAAUUCAUAGUCAAGCGACCUUGGACAGAGUUUCCUGGAAAAGGACAAACUAUAGAUGGAGCACGCGGGCAGUCAGAAGACGGUUCUGAGCAGGCCAUGUUUAGGUCACCAAAACAUAGUCAAAUACCAGGAACAAAGCUGUCCAUGGAACAGUUUCUCAGAAAGCUCCCAGAGUGUGUGGUGAAGUCAGGCAAAGUGAUAAGCAUUCGUGACUCGAUAAAAGCUCAUCUACAGGGCAUGCCUGAUGGUGCCAAGAGUCAAUCGACGACCAUUGUGGAAACACCUGUCUUACAGGCGCUGAGAGAAAGUGAGACAGAUUGUUCAGGAGAAGACAUCACCACAUUACGAAUAAAGUCAGAAGAUGGUGUGGAGACAUUCAUCGUGAAAAUGCACUUUAGCGAUACAAUUGGAGAUCUGCGUCGUUACCUGGACAUGAAAAGACAACCAGGUGGUCCCCCAUAUGACAUCAUCAGCACAUUUCCGAAGCGUUGCUACAACGAUGACACUCAGACGCUCCUGUCAUGCGGUCUAAUUCCAAAUGCAGUGCUGAUUCUACGUCCACAAGCGUCAUUUCCACGGCGAUGACUAUCCAACUGUGGCAUUUUCCCUUUAUCAAGUAUGGGAGCCUUUGUAUCAUUCAAUAAGAAAUGGGAUUAUUGAAAUACUGAGAAAUUGCUAAAGCAAUAACACAAUUAAUAUGUCUGAACAUGAGUAAAUAUAUAGAAGAAUGAUCGAGAUCAAGGUUCUGAAAUCCAACAUUUUUUUCUAGAAAGUCAGUCAAGUUAAAGGGGUGGUGCAACGGUGUGUCAUGCAUUCUGACUUCUUUACAAUGUUAAACGUGCUGUCUUCUCAUGCUUAACAUGGUCAACUUGUCAAAAAACGAGUUGGGCGUAUUACGUAGUAUUUCUGUGCUCGAUACACUCCCCCAGCGAUCGUACAGGUUUCGGAAAGUUUUUAUUAGUCCCUUAUUGGACAAUUCUCCCGGAAAAGCAUGCGGCACGCCCACGCGGCAGCAAGGAGAGCAGGAGAAGGAGCAUGCGCAGACGUCACUUUCACUUGUGUGCAGGAGAGAGAGAGAGAGAGCAUACGUUCAUGAAGUUCAGGUGUUUGUUUGUUCACUGCAUUUGGGUGAUGAAUGUUAUGUAAACAGUGGAUAUAACGCUGGAUUUGGAGAUCGCUUGAAACUGAUAUAUGGAGCCGUCCCAGCGCUAAAAGAUGCCGGACAUGAACCGCAUGCAAAGCAUCGCAGCGCUCACCCUCAUCUCCCUGGCAACGCUUAUGAACUUCCCCAACCCUUUAAAUGCCAUGCAAAUCCUCUGGAUCAACAUCAUCAUGGACGGGCUGGUCCAUGGUUUAUCACUGCACCACAAUAUCAGCUCAUGAGAAUAACAUUAAAGUAUGGUCAUUUUAGUCCGGGCGUUGAUGGGGAUGCGAUCAGGAAACCCCUGCGGAACAGCAUCCUCACUCGCAUUCUGUGUUCUGGAGAGAGUUGAGCUCUUCCUGCUCAUUGGUUUUCUGUUUUGUCUUUCCUGUGUUUUCCAUUUAAAUUCAAAACAGGUCUUCAUGUAAAUGAGAAGAGGAGAAACGGUCUGAUUUUGUUUACCCUGUACCCUGCAACUCCGUAUUUUAUGAACCAUGAAUCUUUGCGUGUCUGUUUCUUUUCAUCUACAUCUGUCAUCUUAUCCUGUAAGACGUUAUGCCCAGGCAACAGCUAUGUGAGGAUUUAUUGCUCAUGUAUUUAGUACUAAUGUAUUAAAGGUUUCCUAUUCUUGAAAGUCUUUAUUAUGUUCAUGAUUUGCUAAACAAUAAGUGUUCAUGUUUUGAUUUUCAAUAAAUGCUUCAUAUAUUACAUAUUUCUCCGGUGUUUUACUGUCACCUCAAUUCUCAGAAAACAGACUGUUGAGUUUCCGGUCCUUCCCGAAACGCUCUGAUUGGUCAAGCUGAGCCAGUCUUUUGUGAUAGGUCUACCUGUAAGAGUGUGUGUUGAGAUGUCCCGCCCAUUAACCUAUCCGUGUUCCAUUGGGCAGGCAACCAUCCUUCCCAGUUGCAACAGGAGAAGUGUCGGAAAUGU